GAGCACAACACACAAAUUCAAAUUCCAAGUGUCAAAUUGGGUAGCCAGGGUCUUGAGGUCUCGAAACUCGGCUUUGGUUGUGGAGGACUUUCUGGCUUUUUAAAUGAUCCUCUGUCACAUGAAGCUGGGUGUGCAAUCUUAAAGGAAGCAUUCAGCAAAGGCAUCACCUUCUUUGACACUGCUAACGUAUACGGGCAUGACGGUCACAAUGAGAUAAUGGUGGGAAAGGUAUUGAAGCAGAUUCCUCGUGAGCAAGUCCAACUGGCAACCAAAUUUGGGUGUACAUUUUCCGAGGACUUAGAUGGCCUCCAAUGUCAAGUCAAAGGCACUCCACAAUAUGUAAGGCAAUGCUGUGAAGAAAGUCUCAAGCGUCUAGACGUGGACUACAUUGAUUUAUAUUAUCAGCACCGGACAGACACAUCUGUGCCUAUAGAGGAAACUAUGGGAGAACUGAAGAAGCUUGUGGAUGAGGGAAAAAUUAGGUACAUUGGCUUAUCUGAAGCCAGCGUUGACACAAUUAAGAGGGCACAUGCUGUUCAUCCCAUCACUUGUGUACAAAUGGAGUAUUCUCUUUGGACUCGUGAGAUAGAAGAGGAUGUUAUUCCGCUUUGUAGAGAAUUAGGCAUCGGGAUUGUUGCAUACAGCCCCCUUGGCCACGGGUUCUUUGGUGGGAAGGCAAUCACAGAAAGCUUGCCUGAGGGAAGUAUGAUGGGUUCUCAUCCAAGAUUUUCCGGAGAGAACUUGGAGAAGAACAAAGCUCUUUUCACAAGAUUUGCAAACUUAGCAGAAAAGCAUGGUUGUACACCUCCUCAACUAGCUUUAGCUUGGCUUCUACAUCAGGGAGAUGACGUGGUUCCGAUACCUGGAACAACAAAGAUUAAGAACCUAAAUGCCAAUAUUCAAUCUGUAGCAGUGAAGCUUACACCAGAAGACGUGAAGGAAAUCACGGAUGCCAUCCCCGUUAGUGAAGUCUGUGGAGCAAGAGAGUCUGGAGUGAUGUCUAAGUAUGAGUAUCGGUUAGCUGAUACACGUUGGUGAGAAAUCGUAUGGGCUGUGUUUGAUAUGGAGGAUUUAUGUUUUUUCUCAUGUUUGGUUCGGUCAAAAUAAUUUGAAAAACCGGAAAAUAAAUUCCUUAAAGUAAAUCUAUAUAGAACUUGUAAAUAAGGAACCUGAGGAGGUGAAUCUGUGACUAUGUUGCAUGAAGGAAAACUAGUGCUUGUUUAUGUAAUAACUCUUGGACUGGUACUAGUAACUGGGCAGAAGUAGCUGCCUUAGUUUAUAGAAUCAAUUGGUGCAUGUUCGAAUUCAAAAU
rnacentral:misc_RNA from 1 species